rnacentral:lncRNA from 1 species
GAGAAAACAGGAAGCAGUAAAGGAGCAACGAUUGUGGAGGAAUGGGACAAGUAUCUUUCAAUGUUCUGGCAACUUGUGCCGCCGAGUGAAGAAGACACGCCGGAAGCUAACUCCGACCACCUGGUGAAAACAACCACCGGGGAAGAAGAGCAAGUGUCAAACACAUUUGCAGUGUAGUAAACGCUUUCGUAAAUGAUUGCAGUUUCUUCUUUGUACACGUGAUGUCUCUCUUCGUUUGUGAGUUAUUACAUUACAACAGGUUCUCGGUUUGAUUUAGACUGGAUUCGGUUAUCUUUCGGUUUACUUCGUCCGGUUUAAUAAUGAAAGAAAAUCCAGCAUGUUUGUGCUUUCGAAUGCCAUAGGGAUAGUCUGGUAAGGCGGUGGUUUACUUAGCUGUCAGUGGUUCGAAUCAGUUUCUCUGUCACUCGUGAAUGAGAUAUUUUUUCUAGUAAUGCAUCAAAAACGUUGAACGUUGUAAGACGAAAUACCACAGUUUCUUACAACCGAUGCUUUUCUUUGUAUUAGAGGCAAUGUGGGUCACAACAACAAAGGUACUUGUGUGUCCGUUUGACAAAGAAACUCAAUUCAGAUUUGAUGUUUAUUCCCACUUGUCUCAGCUCUCACGUGGUUAACGAAACAGAGAUAUAUAGCUGACAUGUGUCAACGUGCGUGUCUUGACGACAAGUUUUAGUCGUCCCAUGAAUUUUUCCAAUCUUUGAAACAUCGUAAGUUCUUAAACACUUCGAAAGUUCUUUUUAAGCACCAACAAAAUUUGGAAUUGACACGUUCAUUGCAUCCUCACCGAAAGCAGUAGAUGUCAGAUUACUAAUUUUACCAAAACAAGAAAAAAAGAUUAAAAGAAAAGAAAUGGCAAAGAGAAUUUAAGUUCAGUGUAUUUUCGAGGGAAUUCAUUACGUCCUCUUCUCUCCUUAACGAUGCAUUGUAUUUUCCCUUUUCCGUUUCAAUUUGUUUUUUCUUUUCAUAUUUCUCUAUAAAUCUCGUGAAAUCUUUGCCGUUAAUUUUGACUGUGUGUGUCGAAACGAAUUAAACUCAGCUAUUUGUGAUAAUUAAAAAAUUAUCAAGAAAACGAGAACCUAUUCUUUUAUAUAACCACCACACAUAUUACAUAUCAAACUAUAACUUCUUGAUUGGAGAAUAACCGUUGUACAACGUUAACAUCAACAAACUUUGGUCGAGGAGUAUGGAUUGGGCCGGCCUUUGAGUCAAACCUGAACAAACCUUGAGUGUGGCUUUGAUUUAUAAACAAAAAAACAGCUUUUAAACUUAUAAGUUAUAACUAUAUUCCCAUCGUAUAUUGGCAACUAGGUGAUUUUCCCGUGCUCAUGCACGGGUAUAAAUAUUUCUAAAGUAAAUAUAUUAUAAUAAUUGAUUACUACUUACAUUUAAUAUUAAAUUAAUUUAUAAUUUAUAUGCAUCAUUUAUAUUAACAAUAUUAUAUUACUUUAAUUUUUAUAUAUGUUAUAUGUAAUCGUUUUUCUUGUUUUUCAGUCGAUUUAGUUAUCAUUUGGGUAAAUUAGAUUGCAUAUAUGAAUUCAACUGUAAUAUUUUUUAUUCUAUAUAUAUUAAAAUUUUGAUUAAUUUCUUAUUUACAUUUAGGUGGUUGUUAUCUUAGAUAUGUAAAUAUAUUUUAUGAAGAUUAUGUAUAACUUAAGAUAUAUUGUGCUUAGAAUGAUUUAAAAAAUAAACUAAAGUGUAUGAUUCCAAAUUACAUAAAUUAAUAUAACGAAACGAUAAUAUUUUGAAGUCUCAUUUAUAUAUAUAAAUUUUACAAAAGAACUAAAUUGUAACAGUUGGUUAAUAUUUUAUUUUCAUUUUUAAUAUUUUUUGAGUUGUCCAAUGAUUUAUAUUUAUAAAAUAAAUUACUAUUCUUAUAAAAUUAAUCGUAGUUAAAUCUAUGGUUUUAAAUAUAAGUUGGAUUAGUCGAAUCAUUCAUGUUGCGAGUAUAUUGAGUUACAUAUAUUCUUUCAAAUUAAAAAUGAAGUAUAAUUAUUUUUUAUUAUAAUUAAGUCGAAUGUGCAUGUAUUUUCAUAACAUUUAUCAAAUUAUAUGUUGAUGUUUUUUUAAAAAAUAUUAAAAAAUAUAGGAUUAUCAAUAUGAAGUUGCAUGCGUAAGUAGCUGAUACAUUUUUGAAAGCUCAUGUACACAUAUCAAUAUUUACAAUAAUUAAAUAAUUUUAAAAAUUCUAAAUAACUUUAUGUUUUUGAUUUAUUGAAUGAAAACUAAAAUUUAUUUGAAUAAUCUUAAAAAUGAGAAUUCAGAUUUGCUUUGAUAUUUUGAUUAUGAUUCUAUUAAGUUCCACAAAUACAAAAACAUAAAAUUUAAAAGCAUAUUUAAUAUUAAGAAAAAAUAACUUUAAUAAUGAUAAAAUAUAAUAUAUCUACCUCAUUAAACUAUUUUGUAACUAUUUGAUCAAACGAUGUUUAUUUUGUUUUUUAGUUUUUUAGUUUUUUUUUAAUAUCUCUUAAAAAUAAGUAGUAAAAAAUUGUGAUUGUAUUUAAAACUAAUAUUAUAUAAGUAAAAUAUAAUUUAUAGAUAUUUUUUGCUGUAAUUGAAAGAUAUUAUUGUCAACUAAAUUUAUUAAACUCUUAAAAUAAGCAGUAAAAAUUGUGAUUGUAUUUAAAAUAAUAUUAUAUAAGUAAAAUAUAUUUUAUCGAUAUUGUUUUGCUGUAAUUGAAAGAUAUUAUAGUCAACUAAAUUUAUGAAAAAUAAAUAAAACAUUUCAAUAUUACUAAUUAUAAAAUAUUUUUAGAUAAUUAAACAUAUAUUAGUUUAUGUUACUUAAUUAUUUUAUGUAAUCAUCUAAGAAAAUAUAUAGGUAUAUAAAAAUAUUUUUAUUAAUUUGAACUUUUGUACUGUUUAAAUUAUGUUUUAGAAGAAAUAAUAUUUCUGUUUCUAAUAUCAAGAUUAUAUGUGUAAAUGUUUUUUAAUGAAAUCAUUUUAUAUAGAAAUUUAUAAUUUUUAUCUUAGAAAAUAUAUAUAUAAAUAAAGUAUUUUAUUAGUUAAAAAUAAUAUUUUAUGUUAUUUAAAAAUAUUUUUUAAAUUUAAUAUUACUAUUUUGUUUACUUUCCUUUUUUUAUGAAAUCAUAUUAUAUAUACAUAUAUUUUCGUUUUUCAAUUCUUUUUUUUUAACUUUAUAAAAUAUUUCCUUUUUAUUUUAUGUGUAUAUUUUUCGAAACUUUUUAAAAAGGAAACUAAAUAAAAUAAUAAAUAAUAGUAUUUUAAAUGUAAGUUAAUUUAUUAAGGGUAUCAGUGUAAUCAACCAUCGUGAGAGUUAACGUGAGAGCGACACAUAGGAAACUGACUUAUUAUGUGAGCACGGGUAUAAAUAUUUCUAAAGUAAAUAUAUUAUAAUAAUUGAUUACUACUUACAUUUAAUAUUAAAUUAAUUUAUAAUUUAUAUGCAUCAUUUAUAUUAACAAUAUUAUAUUACUUUAAUUUUUAUAUAUGUUAUAUGUAAUCGUUUUUCUUGUUUUUCAGUCGAUUUAGUUAUCAUUUGGGUAAAUUAGAUUGCAUAUAUGAAUUCAACUGUAAUAUUUUUACUUGAUUACAGAGAGAGGAGCUGCGUGCACGUUUCCCUGGUCUACCUGGUGAUCUUGUCAAUUUCUUCUUGUAUAUUGCAGAGGAGGUAAUCUUUAAGAAUUAUCUCACUGAAAUAAAACUAUCACCAAUUUCUAAUGCCUAACAUUUCAUCUUAAUUUUGGUAGGUGAGGGGCAUAUUAUCUCAGUUGGGAUAUGAAAAAUUGGAUGAUAUAAUCGGGCGGACAGAUUUGCUGAAGCCUAGGGAUAUCUCGCUCGUGAAAACUCAUCUUGACCUCAGUUAUCUCUUAUCUGUAAGUAGUCCGGAACUAUGUUUACUGCUUUUGUGCUUACUCGCAAGUUGUAUCGUUGUGUAUAGCUAAUUUUUUCUUCAAAUUUGCAGUCCGUUGGGCUGCCAAAACGUAGCAGUACUUCCAUUAGGAAGCAGGAGGUUCACUCAAAUGGUCCUGUCCUUGAUGAUACUAUACUUCAGGAUCCGGAGGUAACUAGUAUUGUCUUACUUAUUGACUCAUUAACUGAAUGUUUCAUUAUGUAGCCUAACCCGUUUACAUUAGAAGAGCCUAAACUUGAAAGAAAGAUAUUUGUAUUUAUGGCAACGGAUGCAAGAAGACUUACUUCUUAAUUUUUGGUUGUUUUCCAGAUAAUGGAUGCCAUUGAGAAUGAACAAACGGUUCACAAAACCAUGAGUAUAUACAAUGUGGACCGUUCUGUUUGCGGUAGGAUUGCAGGAGUAAUUGCGAAGAAAUACGGAGACACUGGUUUUGCUGGACAACUGAACCUAACGUAAGCUACGAUACAGUUAACACAAAACAAACUUGAGUAUAUAUAAUGAAAACUAACUUACAUGAUCCACUAUGUACCCCUUAUAGGUUCAAUGGAAGUGCUGGCCAAUCUUUCGCUUGUUUUCUAAGUCCUGGAAUGAAUAUACGUCUUGUAGGUGAAGCCAACGACUAUGUCGGAAAGGUGUGUCUCAAAAUCAAUGGUUUCUUUCUACAGUAUUUUUCGAUUAAUGGUCUCUUAAUAUUACUCUUUUUACCUCAAGGGAAUGGCCGGAGGUGAAGUUGUGAUAUUACCAGUGGAGUCGACUGGUUUUCUUCCUGAAGACGCAACAAUUGUAGGAAACACUUGUCUGUAUGGUGCAACCGGUGGUUUACUAUUUGUAAGAGGCAAAGCAGGAGAGAGAUUCGCUGUUAGAAACUCUCUAGCUCAAGCUGUCGUUGAAGGCACUGGAGAUCACUGCUGUGAAUAUAUGACUGGUGGUUGUGUAGUUGUACUUGGGAAGUAAGUGAAAAACUCUCUUUUCUUCGACCACGAAACCAAAACCGAGAACUUAAAAGAGUGUCUUAACCACCAAAUGUUACUUCUCUGAAAUUGCAGAGUCGGUAGAAAUGUAGCUGCAGGUAUGACUGGUGGAUUGGCGUAUAUCCUUGACGAGGACAACACUCUCCUCCCUAAGGUUUUAACAUGACCAAGUCGUCUGAGUUAGUUAGUUAUCUCGAAAUAACAUUUGCUAAACACUGAAAUGAAACGCAUUGGAACAGGUGAACAAAGAGAUAGUGAAGAUCCAACGAGUGACUUCACAAGUGGGGCAAAUACAGCUUAAGAGCCUGAUCCAAGCUCAUGUGGUAAAGUCUCUUUCCUUUCUCUUCAUACCCCUACCCGGUCAAUCUUCCAACUGUUUACAUGUAAAAUCAUCUGAAUAUUCGGUUAUAUUUUCUGUUCUUGACAUAAAUAAACAGGAGAAAACAGGAAGCAGUAAAGGAGCAACGAUUGUGGAGGAAUGGGACAAGUAUCUUUCAAUGUUCUGGCAACUUGUGCCGCCGAGUGAAGAAGACACGCCGGAAGCUAACUCCGACCACCUGGUGAAAACAACCACCGGGGAAGAAGAGCAAGUGUCAAACACAUUUGCAGUGUAGUAAACGCUUUCGUAAAUGAUUGCAGUUUCUUCUUUGUACACGUGAUGUCUCUCUUCGUUUGUGAGUUAUUACAUUACAACAGGUUCUCGG